rnacentral:snRNA from 1 species
AUACCUUUCUCGGCCUUUUGGCUAAGAUCAAGUGUAGUAUCUGUUCUUAUCAGUUUAAUAUCUGAUACGUGGGCCAUCGGCUCACAUGAUAUUAAAUUAAUUUUUCAAGGGGGAGGAUCCACCAUGGUAGCUUGCUGCCAGGGCCCUCGAGCGUCGCCCAUGCGUUGCACUACAGCCUGGGCCUGGCGCACCCCUC